rnacentral:tRNA from 1 species
CUCUAUCUAGUCUAGAGGCUAGGACCCCUGGUUUUCAACCAGGCUGAGCAGGUUUAAUUCCUGUGCAGAGA